GUGGGAAGAAAAGCUUUGUGGUUAAUAUCCACAGAGCCUGACGGUACCACUCGAGGAAGCUCCGGCUAACUACGUGCCAGCAACCCCCGGUAAUACUUAGGGGGCUUAGCCUUGUUUCGGAAUCACUGGGCGUAAAGGGAUGUUAGACGGACCGGUAAGUUUAGGAUUUAAUGUACGGGCUCAACCCGUGAUCUGCUUUUAAUACUGUCGGUCUUGAGUAUGGGAGAGGGAGAUGGAAUUCCAGGUGUACCGGUGGAAUGCGUAGAUAUCUGGAAGAACACCAGUUGCGAAGGCGGUCUCCUGGACCAAUACUGACGCUGAUGCUCGAAAGCUGGGGGAGCGAACAGGAUUUAGAUACCCUGGUAGUCCCAGCCGUAAACGAUGGACACUAGUUGCCGGAGGAGUCAAUCCCUUCGGUGACGAAGCUAACGCAUUAAGUGUCCCGCCUGGGGAGUACGCUCGCAAGGGUGAAACUCAAAGGAAUUGACGGGGGCCCGCACAAGCGGUGGAGCAUGUGCUUUAAUUCGAUGCAACGCGAAGAACCUUACCUGGGUUUGACAUGGGGGUGAAAGUUUCCAGAGAUGGAAGCCUUUCCUUCGGGAACACCCCACACAGGUGCUGCAUGGUUGUCGUCAGCUCGUGUCGUGAGAUGUUGGGUUAAGUCCCGCAACGAGCGCAACCCCUGCCCUUAGUUGCCAUCAGGUAAAGCUGGGAACUCUAAGGGGACAGCUUGGUAUAACCAGGAGGAAGGUGGGGAUGACGUCAAAUCAUCAUGGCUCUUACGCCCAGGGCUAGACACGUGCUACAAUGGCAGGUACAGUGGGAUGCCAACCUGCGAAGGUGAGCUAAUCCCUUAAAACCUGUCUCAGUCCGGAUUGGAGUCUGCAACUCGACUCCAUGAAGUUGGAAUCGCUAGUAAUCGCGGAUCAGCAUGCCGCCGUGAAUACGUUCCCGGGCCUUGUACACACCGCCCGUCAAGCCAUGAAAGGCGGUAGUACCCGAAGUCGCGUACCCAACCGUAAGGAGGAAG
rnacentral:rRNA from 1 species